rnacentral:misc_RNA from 1 species
GCCGCGAAGCCACCAUCCUGUGUCUCCCAGCCACUUCACGACCUCAGAGGACAUGCCUCCAGAAGGCGGCACGGGAGGUGGUCCUGCACGUGGCGGCGGCGGUGACCAGACCAACGAGCAGACGUCGAGCCGCGGCUGCAGUCGUAGCAGCAGCGGUGGUACUGGCGGCGAGGAGGACGGAAGAGAGGAGGGAAGAGAACGGGCGCCGAAGCAGACAAGACAACAACAGUGACUUCAUGGAACCUGAUGUGUGUGAUAUCGUAGAACCUAAUGACAACGAUGACGAAAUCAUUAAUCCUGAUGAGGUUUUUGAUAGUGGCUUAAUUUCUACAGAUGUCAACAAAGACGCAUAAUAUCCUGGAUAUAUCUUACACGUUGGCAUUACAUGACUAACACGUUCGCAAUGCCAUAUUUGAGAUUUGGUUUCGUGGGACAUCAUGUGAAUGUCCAAGACGAUAUUUUUUAUUAUGUGAUAAAAUAUCCGAGAUGACGUGCAGAAAUAUGAUAAUAUCCACAAUGAUUUUGAAAUGUCUGUGAUGGAGACACACAUUCCGAUAAUCAGCAAGAUAUGCGUUUUAUCGUUAUUAUAUACUGAUUUCAUAAUAAUAGUCGACUUCUGCAUCAGCUAAUAAUUACCACGAAUACGUUUAUACUUUGUCAGAAAUGCAAGCAGUUCAUGUGAUUUUUUAAAAGUGUGUUCCCGAAUUUCUGCUGAUUAAUUGACGCUGAUUAUCGGAAGCAAGGUUAAAGUAGACUAGAAAAAUAUGAGGUUUGCUUUAGGAAAACAUACAGAUGUUAUCGGGCUCGAGACUUAGAGCUUCUCUACAGAUAAGAACAA